rnacentral:rRNA from 1 species
AAUACAGUACUUGUUAUGCCUUAUUAAAAAAAAGUUUUAUAACAUAAGGAAUUAUAACAAAGAAGCAACACAUAAAAUAUGACAUUCAUAUUUUUUAGUGUGUAUCAAUCGAGUUUCUGACCUAUCAGCUUUUGAUGUUAGGAUAUGGGCCUAACAUGGCUAUGACGGGUAACGGGGAAUUAGAGUUCGAUUCCGGAGAGGGAGCCUGAGAAACGGCUACCACAUCUAAGGAAGGCAGCAGGCGCGUAAAUUACCCAAUUCUAAAGAAGAGAGGUAGUGACAAGAAAUAAUAGGACAAGACUAAUUUUUUAGUUUUGUAUCUGUGCUGAUAGAAUUUUAAAACCAUUCUAAAAUUCAAUUGGAGGGCAAGUCUGGUGCCAGCAGCCGCGGUAAUUCCAGCUCCAAUAGCGUAUAUUAAAAUUGUUGCAGUUAAAACGCUCGUAGUUGAAUUUCAAA